rnacentral:lncRNA from 8 species
AUGGAUGAGCUGCAGACUAUCUACUGUACCUGCAGGCUGCCAAGCUGCAGACUAUCUACUGUACCUGCAGGCUACCAAGCUGCAGACUAUCUACUGUACCUGCAGGCUACCAAGCUGCAGACUAUCUACUGUACCUGCAGGCUACUGUACCUGCAGGCUGCCAAGCUGCAGGCUAUCUACUGUACCUGCAGACUAUCUACUGUACCUGCAGGCUGCCAAGCUGCAGGCUAUCUACUGUACCUGCAGGCUACCAAGCUGCAGACUAUCUACUGUACCCGCAGGCUACCAAGCUGCAGACUAUCUACUGUACCUGCAGGCUACUGUACCUGCAGGCUACCAAGCUGUAAACUAUCUACUGUACCUGCAGACUACUGUACCUGCAGACUAUCUACUGUACCUGCAGGCUGCCAAGCUGCAGGCUAUCUACUGUACCUGCAGGCUACCAAGCUGCAGACUAUCUACUGUACCUGCAGGCUACCAAGCUGCAGACUACCAAGCUGCAGACUAUCUACUGUACCUGCAGGCUACCAAGCUGCAGACUAUCUACUGUACCUGCAGACUAUCUACUGUACCUGCAGACUAUCUACUGUACCUGCAGACUAUCUACUGUACCUGCAGGCUACCAAGCUGCAGGCUAUCUACUGUACCUGCAGACUAUCUACUGUACCUGCAGGCUACCAAGCUGCAGGCUACCAAGCUGCAGGCUACUGUACCUGCAGGCCGCCAAGCUGCAGGCUACCUACUGUACCUGCAGACUAUCUACUGUACCUGCAGACUACCAAGCUGCAGGCUACCAAGCUGCAGGCUACCAAGCUGCAGGCUAUCUACUGUACCUGCAGGCUGCCAAGCUGCAGACUACUGUACCUGCAGGCCACCAAGUUGCAGACUAUCUACUGUACCUGCAGACUAUCUACUGUACCUGCAGGCUACCAAGCUGCAGACUAUCUACUGUACCUGCAGGCCACCAAGCUGCAGACUAUCUACUGUACCUGCAGGCUACCAAGCUGCACACUAUCUACUGUACCUGCAGGCUAUCUACUGUACCUGCAGGCUGCCAAGCUGCAGACUAUCUACUGUACCUACAGGCUACCAAGCUGCAGGCUACCAAGCUGCAGACUAUCUACUGUACCUGCAGUCUGCAGCUUGGUGGCCUAUCUACUGUACCUGCAGGCCACCAAGCUGCAGGCCGCCAAGCUGCAGGCCGCCAAGCUGCAGGCUACCAAGCUGCAGACUAUCUUCUGUACCUGCAGGCUACCAAGCUGCAAACUAUCUACUGUACCUGCAGGCUACCAAGCUGCAGGCUACCAAGCUGCAGGCUACCAAGCUGCAGGCUACUGUACCUGCAGGCUACUGUACCUGCAGGCUACUGUACCUGCAGGCCACCAAGCUGCAGGCCACCAAGCUGCAGGCUACUGUACCUGCAGGCUGCCAAGCUGCAGGCUGCCAAGCUGCAGGCUGCCAAGCUGCAGGCUACUGUACCUGCAGGCUGCCAAGCUGCAGGCUACCAAGCUGCAGACUACCUGCUGUACCUGCAGGAAACCAAGCUGCAGGCUAACUACCUCACCUACCCGCAUACUACCUACCCCGCAGACUACCUGCAGUGCAUUCAGAAAGUAUUCAGACCCCUUGACUUUUUCCACAUUUUGUCACAUUACAGCCUUAUUCUAA